rnacentral:rRNA from 1 species
UACAGAGGGUGCAAGCGUUGUUCGGAAUUAUUGGGCGUAAAGGGCGCGUAGGCGGUUCGGCAAGUCUCUAGUGAAAUCUCUGGGCUCAACUCAGAGUCUGCUGGGGAAACUGCCGGGCUUGAGUGUGGGAGAGGAGAGUGGAAUUUCCGGUGUAGCGGUGAAAUGCGUAGAUAUCGGAAGGAACACCUGUGGCGAAAGCGGCUCACUGGACCGGAACUGACGCUGAGGCGCGAAAGCGUGGGGAGCAAACGGG